UCUGGUGAUUUGUGCGAGGUGGAACUACUCCUUCCCAUUCCGAACAGGAAAGUAAAACGCCUUAGCGGAGACGAUAGUUGUCGGGCAACUGACCGCGAAAAUAUCUCAUCGCCAGAC
rnacentral:rRNA from 1 species